UCCGUUUUGUCAACGGCAGUCUCACUAGAGUGCCCAGCUUGACCUGAUGGCAACUAGGGAUAAGGGUUGCGCUCGUUGCGGGACUUAACCCAACAUCUCACGACACGAGCUGACGACAGCCAUGCAGCACCUCCGCAGCGGUUCUUGCGAAAAGGGAUAUUUCUAUCCUUGUCCACUGCGCUUCGAGCCCAGGUAAGGUUCUUCGCGUUGCGUCGAAUUGAACCACAUGCUCCACCGCUUGUGCGGGCCCCCGUCAAUUCCUUUGAGUUUCAGUCUUGCGACCGUACUCCCCAGGCGGAGUGCUUAAUGUGUUGACUUCGGCACAGCAGGGGUCGAUACCCGCUACACCAAGCACUCAUCGUUUACGGCGUGGACUAC
rnacentral:misc_RNA from 1 species